ensembl:lncRNA
AUACUGAAUAGCUGGCAGGUGUUCUUCUAUAUACCAUGUAAGUAAUUUGAAUUUAUUAUUUUUCUAUAUGCAAAUAUAGUUUCACUAAGGAUAUACUUUGUAUUUAUUAGAAAUUGUUAUAUCAGUUAUGGCCAAUGUUUUUACAAUGCCUCAUUGAUUUUUCAUCUUCUCUCAACUUUAGAAUUGCUCAGUUUUCCCCCCACUAUUUGAUGUUGGCUUAUGCUGAUUUUCCUCCUUUAUUAAAUAUAGUAGAAUAAAUACUGCUAUACUUUGCUUCCGUUAAUUAGUUAUUUGACCCUUGAACUCUUUAUGUUUGUGUUCAUUUCUUUACAUCUUUGUUUUCCAAAGUAAUACAUAAAGGGCUGAUAUAACUAUAGGUUUUCACUCCUACAGGAUCACACAAGGCUUGACACAGUUUAUUAAUUAAAUCAGAUGUGCUCUUGAUAGAUAGGAAAGAAAACCUGCAGCCACAAUAGCAUUUUGCAAAUAAGAUGUGAAAUCAGCUACGGUUAUCAGCCCGACGGCCCGAGGAGUGUCCAGCCCCACAGCACGAGGUGUUGCCAGCCCAACUUGUGAAGCCAUGUUCACUAAAAUUCUAACAGUUUUAGAAGAAGUGAAGGAGACACAACGUGUUCAUGGAAAGAUGUUGAAUGUCCUGCUGAAAAAGCAAGACGGAUCAGUGGUAGAGGUUCCUGAAUUGGUCUUACCUCUGAAAACCCAGGCUGACCUUGAGGCUCUUGAUCAGAAGCUGGGGGAUCGUAGUGUCAUGUCUGCUGUUGUUGCCAUGGUGGCAGAUGUGGGCGGCACAAGUAUAGAUGACGCAACGAGAAGAAUGAUGAAAUACAUCUUUUCAAAUGAGCUGGCAUUGGAGUACAAUUUGUUUGGCCAUCAUGGGAAAAAAAAGUUUAAAGAUUUGCGUAUUUUCAACAUUGUGUAUGAGGCUCUUAAGAACAACCCCCUGACAUCAAAGGUCAACCAGCAAGAAGCUGAGAGGGCACUGUCAAAAUGGUUCACUGGAGCAAGAGACAGAGGAGGACAAAGGGCAUCAAGAAUACACCAAAAGAUGGCUGCAGUUAAAAUUUUACUGAAAAGGUUAUAAGGUUAUAAGUUGCUGCAUCUAGCUGUUGUAGUUCUUGUAUUUUUUUUUCUGACGAUCGUGUUCUCAAAUUUGGUGGGUUGGCAGCUUUCCCAAACACUCAUGGCUGGUUCUAAAAUA